AUUCUUCUACCGUUGCCCGUGGUUUUUAGCCUAUAUUAUUUAGGGGUUUUCCACGUUAAAUUUGUGUCUUUUUUAUCUUCAUUUUUAUUUUCUUAAAUUAUCAGUUGUGAUUUUGCUUUAUCCGAUAACCGUAUUCCGCAACAAUUGGUAUCAUAACC